rnacentral:tRNA from 1 species
GCCUUCGUGGUGUAGUAAUCAGCAUACUCGACCCGUAAGCGAGAAGUCUGUGGUUCGAUUCCCGGCGAAGGCG